rfam:Picea glauca, whole genome shotgun sequence.
ACAUGCCUACAACAUAGCGUUAAUGCACUAGAUCCCAUUAGAACUCCCCAUUUAAGUGUGCUCAAGAUAGAGUAGUAUUGGGAUGGGUGACCACCCAGGAAGUCCCACUAUUUUACAUGCC